GUGAGGAAUAUUGGUCAAUGGUCGCAAGACUGAACCAGCCAUGCCGCGUGCAGGAAGACGGUCCUAUGGAUUGUAAACUGCUUUUAUACAGGAAGAAACCCUCCCACGUGUGGGAGCUUGACGGUACUGUAGGAAUAAGGAUCGGCUAACUCCGUGCCAGCAGCCGCGGUAAUACGGAGGAUCCAAGCGUUAUCCGGAAUCAUUGGGUUUAAAGGGUCCGUAGGCGGUCUUAUAAGUCAGUGGUGAAAGCCCAUCGCUCAACGAUGGAACUGCCAUUGAUACUGUAGGACUUGAAUGCUUAGGAAGUAACUAGAAUAUGUAGUGUAGCGGUGAAAUGCUUAGAUAUUACAUGGAAUACCAAUUGCGAAGGCAGGUUACUACUAAGUGAUUGACGCUGAUGGACGAAAGCGUGGGGAGCGAACAGGAUUAGAAACCCUAGUAGUCC
rnacentral:rRNA from 1 species